rnacentral:lncRNA from 1 species
CCCCGGCCGGAGCCGGCCGCCGGGGCAAAGCCCGGACCGGGCGAUACCCCCCGUCCCGCUGCGGGGCCAGCCCUCAUGGCCCGCCGGCCCCCCGGGCCCUGCCGGCGGCGGGGUCCGGAGGCGUCCGGUGGGGCUGCGCGCCCCGGGAUGCCGCUUGCCGUGUCAUCUGCCCCGGCAGCGCUCCGCCACCGCCUCGGCGCAACCUCCCCGGGCUUAUAUAACUCCCCGCUUGGAGCGGGGCCAGCGGCUCGAUCGCCGGGCUGUGCCGAGGCCCGCACGCCGGCCCACGGGUCGCCCGUGGGGUCUGCCCCGGCACCCGGCGGCCCCCUCCGUGUGGCGUUAACUGCUUCCCCGCCGUCCCGCGGCCCUGUGGCGGGGGGGGGCAGCCCGGCGUGUGCGAGCCACCGGCCACCUCCUCUCCUCUCAUCUCCUGGGAUUAUCCAGCGCGAGGAUGACAACUCCCGCUCCCUCCCGCGGCAUCACCUGCCAGGGAAUGUGCUGACAAAGUGCCCACACGGAGGGGUAGGGCUUCCCUGCUGCUCCCUCCCAGGAAAAGCAGACGCUGGAAGCCCAGAGAUGGUGGAAGCUCGGAGAUGCUGGGCUGCAGAGGAUCCUGUUGCCACUUCCUGCUCCCCGACUGCGCUGUCUCCAUUUGGUACAUGUGAGCUGGAGGCCACAGCAUGGCCAGCCAUAACAAGGCAGGUUCCCUGCCACCCGAGUGGCCUUUCUGCACCGCGGCGCGUCAGAGGCACCAGGCAACCCCGCUCUAUAUUUAGGCUGUGGAGAAUUCCCCUGGGCUCUCCCUUCCGAGCUGAAAAGGUGAGUCACUGCGAGGGAGAGGCCAAGACUCACAUCCGUCCCACUGACCCUGCUCUGACCCGCGCGCACCGCUCCGAGCUGGCAGGACUGCAGCCUUUUGGAGGGCGGGAGGUGGCUGCAGGUGCAGGCAGGGAGGCAGCCAAAGGAACAGCAUCCCGGAGCGAAACCCAGCGCUGCGCCCUGCUCCCGGGGCACGCACCCCCAGCGCCCGGCCGCGGGGCUGCUCCAUGGCUGCGCUUGUCCCACCAACAUCAAACGGGAGAGUGA